rnacentral:rRNA from 1 species
UACGUGAGGGGCGAGCGUUGUCCGGAUUUACUGGGCGUAAAGGGCGCGUAGGCGGCGUGGUAAGUCACUUGGUGAAAAUCUCUGAGCUUAACUCAGAACGGCCAAGUGAUACUGCUGUGCUAGAGUGCAGAAGGGGCAACUGGAAUUCUCGGUGUAGCGGUGAAAUGCGUAGAUAUCGAGAGGAACACCUGCGGCGAAGGCGGGUUGCUGGGCUGACACUGACGUGGAGGCGCGAAAGCUAGGGGAGCGAACGGG